UGAGGAAUAUUGGUCAAUGGACGAGAGUCUGAACCAGCCAAGUAGCGUGAAGGAUGACUGCCCUAUGGGUUGUAAACUUCUUUUAUACGGGAAUAAAGUGAGGCACGUGUGCCUUUUUGUAUGUACCGUAUGAAUAAGGAUCGGCUAACUCCGUGCCAGCAGCCGCGGUAAUACGGAGGAUCCGAGCGUUAUCCGGAUUUAUUGGGUUUAAAGGGAGCGUAGGCGGACGCUUAAGUCAGUUGUGAAAGUUUGCGGCUCAACCGUAAAAUUGCAAUUGAUACUGGGUGUCUUGAGUACAGUAGAGGCAGGCGGAAUUCGUGGUGUAGCGGUGAAAUGCUUAGAUAUCACGAAGAACUCCGAUUGCGAAGGCAGCUUGCUGGACUGUAACUGACGCUGAUGCUCGAAAGUGUGGGUAUCAAACAGGAUUAGAUACCCUGGUAGUCCACACAGUAAACGAUGAAUACUCGCUGUUUGCGAUAUACAGUAAGCGGCCAAGCGAAAACGUUAAGUAUUCCACCUGGGGAGUACGCCGGCAACGGUGAAACUCAAAGGAAUUGACGGGGGCCCGCACAAGCGGAGGAACAUGUGGUUUAAUUCGAUGAUACGCGAGGAACCUUACCCGGGCUUGAAUUGCAACUGAAUGAUGUGGAGACAUGUCAGCCGCAAGGCAGUUGUGAAGGUGCUGCAUGGUUGUCGUCAGCUCGUGCCGUGAGGUGUCGGCUUAAGUGCCAUAACGAGCGCAACCCUUAUCGAUAGUUACCAUCAGGUUAUGCUGGGGACUCUGUCGAGACUGCCGUCGUAAGAUGUGAGGAAGGUGGGGAUGACGUCAAAUCAGCACGGCCCUUACGUCCGGGGCUACACACGUGUUACAAUGGGGGGUACAGAAGGCAGCUACACGGCGACGUGAUGCUAAUCCCUAAAGCCUCUCUCAGUUCGGAUUGGAGUCUGCAACCCGACUCCAUGAAGCUGGAUUCGCUAGUAAUCGCGCAUCAGCCACGGCGCGGUGAAUACGUUCCC
rnacentral:rRNA from 1 species